rnacentral:rRNA from 1 species
GAAUUUUGGACAAUGGGCGAAAGCCUGAUCCAGCAAUGCCGCGUGCAGGAUGACGGCCUUCGGGUUGUAAACUGCUUUUGUACGGAACGAAAAGCUUUGGGUUCAUACCCUGGUGUCAUGACUGUACCGUAAGCAUAAGCACAGGCGAACUACGUGCCAGCAGCACCGGUAAUACGUCGGUUGCAAGCGUUAAUAGGAAUUACUGGGCGUAAAGCGUGCGCAGGCGGGUUUGUAAGACAGAGGUGAAAUCCCCGGGCUCAACCUGGGAACUGCCUUUGUGACUGCAAGGCUAGAGUACGGCAGAGGGGGGUGGAAUUCCGCGUGUAGCAGUGAAAUGCGUAGAUAUGCGGAGGAACACCGAUGGCGAAGGCAACCCCCUGGGCCUGUACUGACGCUCAUGCACGAAAGCGUGGGGAGCAAACA